rnacentral:rRNA from 1 species
UGACGUCAAAUCAUCAUGCCCCUUAUGACCUGGGCUACACACGUGCUACAAUGGACGGUACAACGAGUUGCGAAGUCGUGAGGCCAAGCUAAUCUCUUAAAGCCGUUCUCAGUUCGGAUUGUAGGCUGCAACUCGCCUACAUGAAGUUGGAAUCGCUAGUAAUCGCGGAUCAGCAUGC